rnacentral:rRNA from 1 species
GUAGGUGGCAAGCGUUGUCCGGGAAUUAUUGGGGCGUAAAGCGCGCGCAGGUGGUUCUUUAAGUCUGAUGUGAAAGACCCCCCCGGGCUCAACCCGGGGGAGGGGUCAUUGGAAACUGGGGAACUUGAGUGCAGGAGAGGAAAGUGGAAUUCCACGUGUAGCGGUGAAAUGCGUAGAUAUGUGGAGGAACACCAGUGGCGAAGGCGACUUUCUGGCCUGUAACUGACACUGAGGCGCGAAAGCGUGGGGAGCAAACAGGAUUAGAUACCCUGGUAGUCCACGCCGUAAACGAUGAGUGCUGAGUGUUGGGGGGUUUCCGCCCCUCAGUGCUGCAGCUAACGCAUUAAGCACUCCGCCUGGGGAGUACGGCCGCAAAGACUGA